rnacentral:rRNA from 1 species
GACGAACGCUGGCGGCGUGCUUAACACAUGCAAGUCGAACGGAAAGGCCCUGCUUUUGUGGGGGGCUCGAGUGGCGAACGGGUGAGUAACACGUGAGUAACCUGCCCUUGACUUUGGGAUAACUUCAGGAAACUGGGGCUAAUACCGGAUAGGAGCUCCUGCUGCAUGGUGGGGGUUGGAAAGUUUCGGCGGUUGGGGAUGGACUCGCGGCUUAUCAGCUUGUUGGUGGGGUAGUGGCUUACCAAGGCUUUGACGGGUAGCCGGCCUGAGAGGGUGACCGGCCACAUUGGGACUGAGAUACGGCCCAGACUCCUACGGGAGGCAGCAGUGGGGAAUAUUGCACAAUGGGCGGAAGCGUGAUGCAGCAACGCCGCGUGCGGGAUGACGGCCUUCGGGGUGUAAACCGCUUUCGCCUGUUACGAAGCGUGAGUGACGGUAAUGGGUAAAGAAGCACCGGCUAACUACGUG